rnacentral:tRNA from 1 species
GAGGGUAUUGCUCAGUGGUAGAGUGCAUGCCUAGCAUGCACGAGGUCCAGAUUCAAUCCCCAGUACCUCCA